GUCUCAACGAGAGACUGGGAGAAAUUAUAAUAACCGGGAAGAUGCGGGAUACUCGCGACAGGACGGAAAGACCCCAUGGAUCUUCACUGGAGGUUGAUAUUGAGUAUCUGUUGAGCAUGUACAGGAUAGGAAUGAGCCAGAGAAGAUAGGACGCUAGUCUUAUUUGAGGCAGUGAUGGGAUACUACCCUUGUCUGUAGGAUGCUCUAACCUCGACCUGUAAGCCAGGCUAGGUGCAGGGUCAGGUGGUGCAGCUCGUCUGCGGCGGACGGCCUCUCUAGUGUAAACAUGUGGCGCUGAAGAACCCUGAGAAAGGUUGUAAAUCAAUCGGAGAGGGGAAAGGGCUUAGGGAGACUGAAUGCGAGAGAGACAACUCGAGCAGGAAGGAAACUAAGAC
rnacentral:rRNA from 1 species